rnacentral:rRNA from 1 species
GAUGAACGCUGGCGGCGUGCCUAAUACAUGCAAGUCGAGCGAACGGACGAGAAGCUUGCUUUUCUGAUGUUAGCGGCGGACGGGUGAGUAACACGUGGAUAACCUACCUAUAAGACUGGGAUAACUUCGGGAAACCGGAGCUAAUACCGGAUAAUAUUUUGAACCGCAUGGUUCAAAAGUGAAAGACGGUCUUGCUGUCACUUAUAGAUGGAUCCGCGCUGCAUUAGCUAGUUGGUAAGGUAACGGCUUACCAAGGCAACGAUGCAUAGCCGACCUGAGAGGGUGAUCGGCCACACUGGAACUGAGACACGGUCCAGACUCCUACGGGAGGCAGCAGUAGGGAAUCUUCCGCAAAGGGCGAAAGCCUGACGGAGCAACGCCGCGUGAGUGAUGAAGGUCUUCGGAUCGUAAAACUCUGUUAUUAGGGAAGAACACAUGUGUAAGUAACUGUGCACAUCUUGACGGUACCUAAUCAGAAAGCCACGGCUAACUACGUG